GUGGGGAAUCUUGCGCAAUGGGCGAAAGCCUGACGCAGCCAUGCCGCGUGAAUGAUGAAGGUCUUAGGAUUGUAAAAUUCUUUCACCGGGGACGAUAAUGACGGUACCCGGAGAAGAAGCCCCGGCUAACUUCGUGCCAGCAGCCGCGGUAAUACGAAGGGGGCUAGCGUUGCUCGGAAUUACUGGGCGUAAAGGGCGCGUAGGCGGACAGUUUAGUCAGAGGUGAAAGCCCAGGGCUCAACCUUGGAAUUGCCUUUGAUACUGGCUGUCUUGAGUACGGGAGAGGUGAGUGGAACGCCGAGUGUAGAGGUGAAAUUCGUAGAUAUGCGGAAGAACACCAGUGGCGAAGGCGACUCACUGGCCCGUUACUGACGCUGAGGCGCGAAAGCGUGGGGAGCAAACAGGAUUAGAAACCCCAGUAGUCC
rnacentral:rRNA from 1 species